CUUGAGAGAGACCAUCAUCAUCCUACGCCUCUUGCAGAAUUAUAAACCUUAGGUCACCCACUUGAGGGAAAAUUGCUACUGUCCUACAAACCUCUGCACUUGGAGGCCCAACAACAUCUAUAAGAAGAAGGUUGCGUAGUAGACAUCAAGCAUUUUUCUGGCGCCAUUUCCGGGGAGGCUAGGUAAGCGGCACUCACCUCCCGUCAACGAAGCAUUUUUCUGGCGCCGUUGCCGAGGAGGUUACCGCUUGAAGGUAUAUCUUUAGAUCUUGCAAGCGAAUCUUUUUAUUUCUUGUUCUUUCGCUAGAAAAGUACAAAAAAAUGGAAUUGAGGAUGCCUCAUAUGC
rnacentral:lncRNA from 1 species